GGAAACAGUGGCGAUUGUUAACCGCGUGUGUUUAAAGAUGACGGACGGGGAAGAGACCCGAGCCUGCCUGCCUGCCUGCCUGCCUGGUGUGCUUUGCUUCGCUUUGCUCGACACACGCACACACGGUUGCAGAGUGCGCACUGUGCAGUGAUGUUGCUGCUGGCGCUUCUUGCCCGUGUGCAUCUCCAGGGUUUUCUACGGUGGACUUUUUACACAAUUGGGUUUGCCGGAGCAUGGACGGGCUGAUUCAUCCCCCGCCUUUGUUGUGGUGCACCACUGCACUUUGUUUGGUGGGCCUACACAAGCUAAGUUGUGGUCUUCGUCGCUAUCACCUAGUGCCACUCCACCGGCACCAGGUGUUCCACCUACUGUGUCAACCUCAUCUUCAACUUCAACUUCUGUCGAACCCGUUGUUGCUCCUACUUCACCUACGGUCCGUUCAGAGGCACCGAUGGCUCUGUCUGAAGGGAUGUCCACUCCCUUUCAAUGUAGUAGCCGUUACCUCGUCUUCGUUGACGACUAUUCUUUGACCGACGAGCACACUAUGGAUAAGGCAAUGCGCCGCCAAGCUGAGCGCAAUUUGGACACAUCCGUGACAUUAUGGCCUGAACGAAAACUUUUUAUGUCACGAUUAUGACACUUCUAUGAUGAUUACUGUGACAAAAACACGUAUCAUCAUAGAUGUGGUGGAUUCCUACUUCCAUGACAAAAAAUCAUGACAUAAAUUGGGCUUUUCAUCCUGGGCGGGCCGGAGACGCAUGUGCAUUUACAUUCUUUGAGCGUCCAUGACGAAAAAAAAUGUGGUAGAAGCGAGGGCAAGGAAAAUUUCAGGGAGUUCCCGGUUACGGUGGGUGGUCAGGGCCGAGUGAUGCACUGUGGUUUGCGCAUUUCUCUCGUACAUGCGUGUGUGCGAGGCAUUGGCUAACUGAACCCGAGUGAGGCAUUCGCUUACUGAACCUGAAUGAUUGCACUAGCUACGUUACUGAAUCCGAGCGAUCGAUCCCUUGGCUGUUAACUGAACCCGAGUGAUUCCUUCAUGAUUGCUGCUAACUGAACCCAAGCGAUCGAUCGUGCUCCUACUUACUGCAGGCGACCGAGCCCCAUGCGGGACGUAGCCAACUGGUGUUGGGUUGCCUCUCGAUAAACAGUGGCCGUCGCUACCGCACGCACGAUACGUAGAACGAGUCGAGGCGUGGUGGGGGGAUAUGCUGCAGCGCUUCCACCUUGAUGAGAACGAAGAUGCUGGAGAACUCAUAGCCAUGCAAACAAGCAUGCUCCACCCGUAGGAUGCUCGCGAAGCCGGCGACAGAGGUCGCGACUCCACGCCUGUUCUAGAGCUCCAAAGACAGCUUCUCUAGCCACAGGUUGACGACGUGCUAGUAGGAGAAGGAGAAAGCGCUGUCCCCCGCAUUGUGCGCACGAUCUGGACCAUGUGAGAGCCGACAUAGAUCAGACUCGCACGAAUGGCCGCGACCUGCUCCUCCUCCUGCUGGAACUCGGCGAAGGCCGUGCCCACCGCGAACCCAGCAAAGCACACUGCAGCAAUCCCGAGCCGCUGCCGGAACACACGCCGGAGCCAGGGAAGUUGGGCUUGGGUGGAGAGAUGUUGACAAGGCAAAGAAGGGUAUUCUGAUCGGGGACGAGAGGGAAGUGGACGUCGGGCGAGGUAGGGCGACCACGGACCACAGGCUCCAUUGGGGCAGCGGAAGCAAGUCAAGGCGAGUUAGGGCGAAAGGGGACAAUGACAAGCGAAGGAGAGGGGUCAGGGCCGAGCUGUGUGACGGGCUGUGGUGAAGGAGGGCGGGUACUAAUAAGUGCAGCGCUAGGUUUAGGGUUAGAGCUGCAAACACGGAUGCUGCAUCGGAAGCUAAGAUGUCCAACACGACGGCACAGCCAACAAACAACAGGAUCCCAACAAUCUCGUCGUCUAUGACUAAGCGAGAGGCAACGGAAGCAGCGCAGGUGUAAAUCGUUAGGUUUACCAUAUCGGAAAAGAGGAUUUGGUGCGAGAUGCGAGGGACAUAAUGGUGCUGGUGACAUAGGGCCACGCGAAAGCAGGGCGUCUCUAUAGGUUGCAUGGCGAGGCGAGGGUGGACUAACGAUUAGGGAGUCACAUGAGUGGGCAGAGGAGGCAGAGGGGUGGCUGGAUGGCGCAACGGAGGAAGAAGAUGCGACAGAGGUGUGGCUCUGAUGAGCCGCCGAUUGGGCAGAAACCUGCCGCGUCGGCAGAUGAGAAGGAUUUAGUGUAUCUAAGCCGCCAUGUACUUGAUUACGUAAUGGCUUCGAUCUUGCAGUGCUCAAUCCCAGUGACAGAAGGGGACAUGACACGUAUUUGUAUCGUUGCUAUUAAGGAUAAAAGAUGAGGUUUAUUCAUGCAUGAGUUUACGUUUUCUACAUCAUGCCAUCUUGCUUAAGGC